UGAUGAUCUACUGGGGCAUAAACACUCCAAACUAAGGAGUAUGAGCAAUUAUGACUGUUAAUGAUUAUACUGUCUCUCAGUUCUAUGGGUUGGCAGGGCUCCACUGGGAGGUUUUCACUUGGGUCUCUCAUAUGAAUGCAGACAAUAGCUGGGGUUGCAGUCAUCUGAAGGCAUCCUCACUCACAUGCAUAGUGGCAGCUGACGCUGGCUGUGGCUAGAACCUCAGCUGGGGCUGUGGGCCAGAACACUAUAUACAGCCUCUUCAUGAGCCCUGGGCUUCUUCCCAGCAUAGGGGCUGGGAUUUAAGAGCAAGUGGACUGAGAGAGAUCCAGAGGAAACCAUUCAUCUUUUAUGAUAUAGCCUCAGAAACAGUGGUGCACUUGUAUUUAUUAAUCAGCUGUGUGUGUGUGUGUGUGUGUGUAGAGAUGUAGAUAGAUGAGAGUAGAUGUGUGUGAGAGAGAGAGAGAGAGAGAGAGAGAGAGAAUGAUUUGCUGGCCCCUAUGACAUAGGUAAUCUCUCUGUGGUUGUUUUCAGGCUGUGAGCAUGGAGCUAGGAGAAGAUUAGCACUCUGGUUAGCUGGUAGAAAGGGCUUCUGCACCCAGCUGCCCUCAGUGAUUACACAUCACUUGACCUGCACUCUGUGGGUUGAAGUAACUGAAGGCUCACCUGGGUUCAGAUGGAGGAGAUGACUCUGCCUCUUGAUGGCGUAUUGGAGAGGUCAUAGUGUAAGAAGAGCGUAUGGAUGGGAGAUGUUAAAGCCAUCUUUGGAAAAGUCAAUCUGCCACAAUCACCAAGAACGAAGAUCCAAAGGAAUCCACAGAAGAAAAUGAAAUGUAGAGAAAGUCCCCUGAAAUUGCCAAGGAGGUGGGAUUCAGUUCUACAGAGGGGCCUAUGUUUGAAGAAUACUCUGUUGGGUUUGAGAUGCAAGCUGGAGAGCAGGAUAGGGAGAGGGGGAUUUCCGUGGAAAUUAGUAGGAAGAAUCUGGGAUCUCCAGCCAGCAAUAACUCCAGAAUUUCUACACUGCAGGAAAUUGAAGAUUUGGCUGGAAGGGAGACCCAAAGCUAAAGCUCCUUCUUCCAGCCGAAACUUGACACUCACCGGUGUUCCAAGGAGUGACCUGAGAGGCAAGGAUUGAGGACCAGUGACAGAAGAUAAGUAACUUGGCAAGAUGCACACAGCUCUGUCCAAGCUGCACAAUGUGACCCCCUCUGAAGCCCUCUUCCCACCCCAACUUAUCAUUUAAAUGCUGUGUAAGUAAACACUUCAGAAGAUUAAAUGCUUCACAGAUUACCUAUGUUAAUAGGCAAAAUGCCAAGCAUACAGAAAUCUCUCAAUAAAUGUCUACUUCCUGCCUUUUCUCCCCACACCCAUGUCAUAUGCUGUAUUACAUAGAAGGCAGGGCAGAGGUUCUGUCUUGUCUAUCUCUGUACCUGCAGCUCCUUGCACAGAGCCUGGCUUAUGCAGUGCUCAAUGAAUGUUUGUGUGCUUGAGAGAAUGGGCCAUAAUUUACUAAGUCAUUCUACUAAGCCAUGUAUUAAUAAUUGAGCAUUGUGUUUGUUGUUAAAUUUGCUUCAUUAUAAACAUUUUUACAAUGAAUAUAUUUGUCCCAAUUUUGGAUUGUUUGUUCAGUUUAGGCUCAAGAAAGUAGAAAUAGUAAACCAAGAUGUAAAUUUCUCCAAUUACCUUGCACAAGGUCCCUCCCCCAACACCUGGGGAUUAAAAUUUGGAUUCCAAUUCAAGAUGAGAUUUGGGUGGGGACACAGAUCCAGACCACAUCACCCCUCCAGUAGCUUAUUUUUAAUUAUGUAACUCUUGAAUGUAUA
ensembl:lncRNA